ensembl:miRNA microRNA 1180
GUCUGCCUGGCCCACCCAGCCGGGAAUAGUGCACGAGUUUGUUUCCGGCUCGAGUGGGUGUGUCGGAGGC